UCGGAUUGCAGGCUGCAACUCGCCUGCAUGAAGCUGGAAUUGCUAGUAAUCGCGGAUCAGCAAGCCGCGGUGAAUACGUUCCCCGGGCCUUGUACACACCGCCCGUCACACCAUGAGAGUCGGGAACACCCGAAGUCCGUAGUCUAACCGCAAGGGGGGCGCGGCCGAAGGUGGGUCCGGUAAUUGGGGUGAAGUCGUAACAAGGUAAC
rnacentral:rRNA from 1 species